rnacentral:rRNA from 1 species
AGAUGACGCUGGCGGCGUGCUAAUACAUGCAAGUCGAGCGGCACGGGUUCUCACCGAGCUUCGGAACCAAUUAGCGAUUAGCCAUUAGCGAUGACCGAUGCAUUAACAAUUAGCCAUUAGCGGUUAAAACGCUGUUGCUAAUUGUAAAUUGCUAAUUCAUUGCCAAUUACUCAUUGUUAAUUGAUAAUUUCCGAAUUUCAGUGAGGAAUGCCGGCGAGCGGCGGACGGCUGAGUAACGCGUAGGAACCUACCCCAAACUGAGGGAUAAGCAUCAGAAAUGGUGUCUAAUACCGCAUGUGAUCUUCGGAUUAAAGCUUUAAGCGGUUUGGGAAGGGCCUGCGUAUGAUUAGCUUGUUGGUGAGGUAAUGGCUCACCAAGGCGACGAUCAUUAGCUGGUCUGAGAGGAUGAUCAGCCAGACUGGGACUGAGAACGGCCCAGACUCCUACGGGAGGCAGCAGUAGGGAAUUUUCCACAAUGGGCGAAAGCCUGAUGGAGCAACGCCGCGUGCAGGAUGAAUGCCUUCGGGUUGUAAACUGCUUUUGUAUGUGACGAAUAUGACGGUAACAUACGAAUAAGGAUCGGCUAACUCCGUGCCAGCAGCCGCGGUCAUACGGAGGAUCCAAGCGUUAUCCGGAAUUACUGGGCGUAAAGAGUUGCGUAGGUGGCUUUAGUAAGCGGACAGUGAAAGCGUGUGGCUCAACCAUACAUCCAUUGCCCGAACUACUAGGCUAGAGGACGAGAGAGGUUACUGGAAUUCCCAGUGUAGGAGUGAAAUCCGUAGAUAUUGGGAGGAACACCGAUGGCGUAAGCAGGUAACUGGCUCGUUCCUGACACUCAGGCACGAAAGCGUGGGGAGCAAACGGGAUUAGAUACCCCGGUAGUCCACGCUGUAAACGAUGGAUGCUAGCUGUUAGCGGUAUCGACCCCGCUAGUAGCGAAGCUAACGCGUUAAGCAUCCCGCCUGUGGAGUACGGUCGCAAGACUAAAACAUAAAGGAAUUGACGGGGACCCGCACAAGCGGUGGAGCGUGUUGUUUAAUUCGAUGCUAAACGAAGAACCUUACCCAGGCUUGACAUCANUGGAAAUUCUCCGAAAGGAGAGUGUGCUUUAUUGAGCCAAGUGACAGGUGUUGCAUGGCCGUUGUCAGCUCGUGUCGUGAGAUGUUUGGUUAAGUCCAUCAACGAGCGCAACCCUUAUGUUUAGUUGUAUUUCUCUAAACAGACUGCCCUGGUAACAGGGAGGAAGGAGGGGAUGACUUCAGGUCGGUAUGCCAUUACGUCUGGGGCUACAAACACGCUACAAUGNCAGUACAGAGGCUGCCAAUCGCGAGACGGAGCAUUCCCACCAAACCGUCUCAGUUCGAUAGCAGCUGAACUCGCUG